rnacentral:rRNA from 1 species
ACACGGUCCAGACUCCUACGGGAGGCAGCAGUGGGGAAUUUUGGACAAUGGGCGCAAGCCUGAUCCAGCAAUGCCGCGUGAGUGAAGAAGGCCUUCGGGUUGUAAAGCUCUUUUGUCAGGGAAGAAACGGUUGGGGCUAAUAUCCCCGGCUAAUGACGGUACCUGAAGAAUAAGCACCGGCUAACUACGUGCCAGCAGCCGCGGUAAUACGUAGGGUGCAAGCGUUAAUCGGAAUUACUGGGCGUAAAGCGUGCGCAGGCGGUUUUGUAAGUCUGAUGUGAAAUCCCCGGGCUCAACCUGGGAAUUGCAUUGGAGACUGCAAGGCUGGAAUCUGGCAGAGGGGGGUAGAAUUCCACGUGUAGCAGUGAAAUGCGUAGAGAUGUGGAGGAACACCGAUGGCGAAGGCAGCCCCCUGGGUCAAGAUUGACGCUCAUGCACGAAAGCGUGGGGAGCAAACAGGAUUAGAUACCCUGGUAGUCCACGCCCUAAACGAUGUCUACUAGUUGUCGGGUUUUAAUUAACUUGGUAACGCAGCUAACGCGUGAAGUAGACCGCCUGGGA